rnacentral:rRNA from 1 species
CACGUAGGCACCAAGCGGUGUCCGGAUUUAUUGGGCGUAAAGAGCUCGUAGGCGGUUCGGUAAGUCGGGUGUGAAAACUCUGGGCUCAACCCAGAGCCGGCACUCGAUACUGCUGUGACUCGAGUGCGGUAGGGGAGCGGGGAAUUCCUGGUGUAGCGGUGAAAUGCGCAGAUAUCAGGAGGAACACCAGUGGCGAAGGCGCCGCUCUGGGCCGUGACUGACGCUGAGGAGCGAAAGCGUGGGGAGCGAACAGG